rnacentral:rRNA from 1 species
AACGAACGCUGGCGGCAGGCUUAACACAUGCAAGCCGAGCGCCCCGCAAGGGGAGCGGCAGACGGGUGAGUAACGCGUGGGAAUCUACCCAUCUCUACGGAAUAACGCAUGGAAACGUGUGCUAAUACCGUAUACGUCCUUCGGGAGAAAGAUUUAUCGGAGAUGGAUGAGCCCGCGUUGGAUUAGCUAGUUGGUGGGGUAAAGGCCUACCAAGGCGACGAUCCAUAGCUGGUCUGAGAGGAUGAUCAGCCACACUGGGACUGAGACACGGCCCAGACUCCUACGGGAGGCAGCAGUGGGGAAUAUUGGACAAUGGGCGCAAGCCUGAUCCAGCCAUGCCGCGUGAGUGAUGAAGGCCCUAGGGUUGUAAAGCUCUUUCACCGGUGAAGAUAAUGACGGUAACCGGAGAAGAAGCCCCGGCUAACUUCGUGUCAGCCGCCGCGGUAACAC